CGGCAAAAAUUGGGUAUUCAUUGUAGACAAAAAAUUUUUUUUAUAGAUAUAUUAUAAUGAUAAAUAUGAUUUUUGAGGUUUGGGUUUGAGAUCUAUUUACAAUCAUUAUAUUCUGAAAAUUGGAUCAAAUUUGGACUAAUAUUGAAUGAGAGAGAGCGUCCCGACUUCGGUAAAAUGUCAUUUUGAGAAAAUCGAGUUCAAAGUUGCACGAUAACUUUUGAAGACAAACAAAUUACAUUUAAACAGAUAAAUUACAUCAAAGUUUAUUUGAAAUGAACUUGCUGCAUAUGUUUUUCCCUCUUCUACUUCAUUCUUGUCACCUUUCCUCUUAUUUCUUCCCCUGAUGACCUUUCUCUACACUUUAUUCUUCUCCUUCACCUUGUAGCUAGAUUUCGUAACACGAAGCCGAUCGGCUUCCUUUACUCCAGCAACACAAAAAGCUCCUGGAUUUAUUACCAAAGGCUUUGAAGACUUCAAUAGUUGCUUUGGCACUAAAGUUGAAAUGAUGCAUGCUUU